rnacentral:rRNA from 1 species
UACGGGAGGCAGCAGGGGGGAAUUUUGGACAAUGGGCGAAAGCCUGAUCCAGCAAUGCCGCGUGAGUGAAGAAGGCCUUCGGGUUGUAAAGCUCUUUUGUCAGGGAAGAAACGGUGAGGGCUAAUAUCCCUUGCUAAUGACGGUACCUGAAGAAUAAGCACCGCUAACUACGUGCCAGCAGCCGCGGUAAUACGUAGGGUGCAAGCGUUAAUCGGAAUUACUGGGCGUAAAGCGUGCGCAGGCAAAAAUGUAAGUCUGUCGUGAAAUCCCCGGGCUCAACCUGGGAAUUGCGAUGGAGACUGCAAGGCUAGAAUCUGGCAGAGGGGGGUAGAAUUCCACGUGUAGCAGUGAAAUGCGUAGAGAUGUGGAGGAACACCGAUGGCGAAGGCAGCCCCCUGGGUCAAGAUUGACGCUCAUGCACGAAAGCGUGGGGAGCAAACAGGAUUAGAUACCCUGGUAGUCCACGCCCUAAACGAUGUCAUCUAGUUGUCGGGCCUUCCUAGGCUUGGUAACGAAGCU